GAGCGACCUCAGCUGUUGGGCCUAUGGCUGUAAUCCUAAAUGGUGUUGAAUCUCCUGUUGAUUUUAAUGAUUCUGAGUUACUGAGAUACUAUCAGUUUUCACACCACAUUGAACUUGCUACAGUUGUUGAGGAUGAAGAGAUAAAGGAUCAGACUUAUGAAAACAUUUUAAUGAGAAGAGUGAAUACCUGAAAAAUGGAUAAGUGCCGAUUGAAGGCUUUCUUCAAGAAGUGUUUAGAUGUACAUUCUAUCCCUCAAGACCAAUGUGAUCAAUCUCUGGACAGCCAAAAGUGCAUUGGUUAGCACUCCAUCUAAUGGCAGCAUCAGAGGCAAUUGCGAAAGCCAGAAAAUGGCCUUUGUGAUAAUGCCACUGAGAUUUAGAACAUUAAAGCAAUCUCAUUAUCAGUUUGCAUUCCCAGUUGGAAAUCGGAGAUUGUUCAGCACAUCAGACAGUUGAGUUGAGGCAUGUAAUGUGCAGCCCAAGGGCCAAGUGAGACCUGCUGAGUCAUAUAAUGUGGGCUCCAGCUGCCCUCCUCCUGUAGCCGAAGGAUGAGGACAAAGCAGCAGAACUGAUUGAUGCUGCUAAUGAACACGAACGACAAUGAAUUACUUCCCAUCUGCAUAACAUGAAAGGAGAAAAUACAACCAAAUAAGUCCUGUGCUCUCAUAAUAAAUAUCUGUGGUUUAUAUA